CCCGCUGUUCCGUCAGCGGUAGCCUACCACCGAUGCACCUUAAUAGUUGUAUUAAGCGGUUGGGACAAAGUACACUUUCGCAAGACAAGACAGAACCGUGAGGGGAAGUCAAGUACGGUUAGUAUCAUACCGUAGAGUGG
rfam:Bacteroides caecimuris strain I48, complete genome.